UUCAAUCCCACUUUUCCCACAGGGUUGGACCCCGGAGUCCAAUUUUGUGACACAAACAAGACCCUGAAUUCCUAAACUGGGAAAAACAGGGAAUUUCAGGAGGGAACAACCUUCCCGUAGGAAAAGCUUCCUCCAGGCUCUCUUUGCCUGGGCCAUAAAGCACCAAAAUUCCCUUUUUGCCCUCAAAUUUCCUGGGAUUUCCCGUGCCAGGAGUGGGCAAUGCUGUCCCUGCAGUCCCUGAAAUUCCCAGUGCUGUUCAAUUCCAGCUGGAGAGAGCAGCAGAGAGUCCCGGAGGUUGUACCCGGAGCAGCAUUCCCGGGAUUUCCCCAUUCCCAGGGAAUUUAGGGAAGCUCUGCCCCCCCCAGCUAAUUCCAAAGGAGGUGCUGGGGUCUCUCCCUGCACACAGAACUUCCCAGUGGGAAUUUCCCUUCCCUGUUUUCCGCUCCCUGGCACAGGCAGCUGCACCCCCUCGGCCGCACGGACGGAUUGGAUUCCCUGAGAAAAUUCCAGAGGCGCUUCCAGUGUUUCAAAGGAAAAUGAAGCCCCUUUGGAAAUGUGAAGCUCCGAGAUAAUGACCGGAUCGCUCCAGGACUGGAUGGGAACAGGGAAAAAAGGGAAAAGGGAGGAGGAAAGAAAGGAAAGGAACCAAAUCAAGCCCCAAAUGCCAACCCUAUCCAGAGGAAAUUCCAGGUGGGAUUUGCUGCCAAGGCGAAGGGCUCGGUACCCCUUGUUUCCUCAAGGACUCCUGAAAUUCCACUUUUCUCUUUGGGAUCUUUUUAAAAUUCCCUUUUUUUGACUCAAACAGCCAAAAUUUUGGGCCCAUCCUGAGGGAGGGACCCCUCACCCACCCCACAGGCCAAGGAGCCUUAAAAA